rnacentral:rRNA from 1 species
CAGCCGCCGCGGUAAUACGGAGGAUCCAAGCGUUAUCCGGAAUCAUUGGGUUUAAAGGGUCCGUAGGCGGUCUUGUAAGUCAGUGGUGAAAGCCCAUCGCUCAACGGUGGAACGGCCAUUGAUACUGCAGGACUUGAAUUAUUGGGAAGUAACUAGAAUAUGUAGUGUAGCGGUGAAAUGCUUAGAGAUUACAUGGAAUACCAAUUGCGAAGGCAGGUUACUACCAAUUGAUUGACGCUGAUGGACGAAAGCGUGGGUAGCGAACAGGAUUAGAGACCCCGGUAGUCCCUGUCUCUUAUAU